GAUGAACGCCGGCGGUGUGCCUAAUACAUGCAAGUCGAACGCGUUGGCCCAACUGAUUGAACGUGCUUGCACGGACUUGACGUUGGUUUACCAGCGAGUGGCGGACGGGUGAGUAACACGUAGGUAACCUGCCCCAAAGCGGGGGAUAACAUUUGGAAACAGAUGCUAAUACCGCAUAACAAUUUGAAUCGCAUGAUUCAAAUUUAAAAGAUGGCUUCGGCUAUCACUUUGGGAUGGACCUGCGGCGCAUUAGCUUGUUGGUAGGGUAACGGCCUACCAAGGCUGUGAUGCGUAGCCGAGUUGAGAGACUGAUCGGCCACAAUGGAACUGAGACACGGUCCAUACUCCUACGGGAGGCAGCAGUAGGGAAAUCUUCCACAAUGGGCGCAAGCCUGAUGGAGCAACACCGCGUGAGUGAAGAAGGGUUUCGGCUCGUAAAGCUCUGUUGUUAGAGAAGAACGUGCGUGAAGAGCAACUGUUCACGCAGUGACGGUA
rnacentral:rRNA from 1 species